ensembl:lncRNA
UAUAGGUGUGUAUAGGUGUGUGUAGGUGUGUGUAGGUGUGUGUAGGUGUGUAUGGGAGGGAGGUGUGUAUAGGUGUGUGUAGGUGUGUGUAGGUGUGUAGGUGUGUGUGUAGGUGUGUAUGGGAGGGAGGUGUGUAUAGGUGUGUGUAGGUGUGUAGGUGUGUGUGUAGGUGUGUGUGUAGGUGUGUAUGGGAGGGAGGUGUGUAUAGGUGUGUGUAGGUGUGUAUAGGUGUGUAGGGUGUGUGUGUAGGUGUGUAUGGGAGGGAGGUGUGUAUAGGUGUGUGUAGGUGUGUAUGGGAUUGUUAGGCCAAAGCUUUUCCUCUCAUUUCUUGGCAUAUUUUGCUAUGCUAUUUCACUGUGUGUGUGAGUGUGUUGUUUUGUGUCUCCCUCUCUUUCUCAUACUCUCUCUCUUUAAUCUCUAUUGCUCUCUUUCUCAUACUCUCUCUCUUUAAUCUCUAUUGCUCUCUUUCUCAUACUCUCUCUCUUUAAUCUCUAUUGCUCUCUUUCUCAUACUCUCUCUCUUUAAUCUCUAUUGCUCUCUUUCUCAUACUCUCUCUCUUUAAUCUCUAUCCCUCUCUUU